AAUUAAUUAAAUUUUAAAUGAAGUUUCUUGCCCAAUAUCAAGAGAGAAGUUGAAUAAUAAUACGAAAAUCUCUAACCCACCAGAAGGAGGAUGUCCAAUGGCACAUAACAAUAUAGAGAUUGUAAAUGAUCGGAAUAUGAUGCCAGAUUUUAGUAAGGAUACAACUUCUGAGAAUUUCUGUAAUCUAAAAAAAACAAGAGAAACGUCAAGUAUUCCAAUGUCUUCUUCUGAUUCAAAAAAAUGGACUUAUCCGUCUUCUGAAAUGUUUUACCGUGCUAUUGUUAGGAAAGGCCACCAAUUUGAAAAUGGACAACUUGAUUCUCAGUUGAUUGAUGAUGCAGUGAAAGCCCAUAACUCUACUAAUGAGGCUACAUGGAAGGAGAUUCUCAAAUGGGAAGCCCUUCACGCGAA
rnacentral:lncRNA from 1 species